CCCCAGCCGUGGCUGUUUGCAUCUCCCAACAGAAGAGGCAGGAACGUCCCCUCUUUCCUGGCUGGGGGGUGAUUUCACUCCAGUAACGUUCAAGUGGCCGUAGGGAGGGAAUCACUGUGGGGGAGGGGAUCAUGUCCAUGGCAGUGCCAGCGCCACUCCGGUGCUACCAAAGAUAACACGGGCUCCUCUCUCACCCCAGAAAACUGAAGCCGCCGCUUGCCCUGGAGCUGGAAUCACGCCUCCUGCGGGCUCUUCUUUACAUCAUUUUCACUAUGGGCACUGGGCAGGAUACCACCCACUUCCAGCACGUCCAGUUCUGGCUCCACUCCAAAAACACCCAGGUGAGAGCUAGAGCCAUAUGGAGCAGCGCUGCCCUGCUCCAAUUCGCCACCUCCCUCCCUGGAUUUGAUACCUCCUCCAAUUUCCCCAAGACAGGCAACUUUGUGCUGCAGCUGGCUCUGUGCAUCUCUGACCCAGCCAACGACAUCAGCCAGCAAGCCAGGAGUGGGAUCUGUUGGCUGCAGAGGCUCCUGCUCCAGAGGAGGCUGCAGAUGGAGGUCACCGGCAACGGAUGGUCCAUCUCAGGAUCUCUGGGACAUCGGAGGACCUGGCUCUCUACUGCCAAAGCAGGAGAUCAACAGAUCUGGGCUGAUAGCACAGUCUUCACUGGAUCCUUUGGUGGAUUACAGGAGUCAGGGACGAAGAAGGAGGCAUCUGAGUUGCAGGGGAAGCGGGAAAAAGGGAGCCCAGAAGAGCAGGAAGAAGAGCGCACUCCCACCCCCUCAUUACCAAGCAGCUCCUGUAUAACGAUGACCCCCGGGGAGCAACUUUCCUCAGCCCAGCUCCAAGCCCUGCUGAUGAGAGCCAUGAAGGGUCUGACAACACCCACCCUGGAGCGAUUUCAAGCCACAGAAGAAGAGCUGAGGACCAUCAUCUCUCUACACAGAGACCAAAUGGAGAGAGUAAAGAUUGGAGACGUCAUGGGAUGCAUCUCAAUCUGGCUGGACAACGUCUGUGAUCCCAGAGCCAGAAAAGCAGCGCUGAGGGCCACGGCCUUGCUGGCUCGCACCCACUCCCAGGACGUGGUUCUGAGCUGUGUGGCGCACACACUGUCAUCGGACAGGGGUCGUGAAACCCAACUGGACCCUAGCCAGAGGUCAAAUCUCCGGCUCUCCUCAGCAUCCUCUGCAAUGCAUCUCUGCACAGACGAUAGACAAAUCUGUGUCACAUGGGAGAGCAAAUUGAAGAGCAGAAUGAAAGAAAUUGAAUUUCUUACUCAGGCAAUGAGGACCAUUUACGAGGUCCUUUUCCUAUGGGGAUACUGAGAAGCCAUCCUGGAAAUGUAUCCCCAGAUGCUCAUCCCUCUCUCAGGCAAGUGUAGUAUGUGAUGGAUCUGCGCUUGCCAGGAACCCACAUGCCAGCGAGACGUCCAGCCCUGAGGAGGGUUCCAACUGCCUCAGCCCCUUAAGCAUGUCAGUGGAGGCUGUGAAGACUCUUUUCUCCACGCCCGGAUACUGGAAGGAAUUUGCCAGCAUCCAAUUUCAGCAAGGUUGGGACAUGAUGUCCUCCCGAAAUUACUACUCACAGGGGGUUGGCUUGAUUGCAAGAGCCAUGAUCGAGUUUGAGAACCCUCAGCUCCCUGCAGUUUUCAGAGAGGCUGUCACCAUUGUCCAGAGUGAGAAGGAGGAGGAGCAGAGAACUAUCACCAUGACAUUCUGCUCUGAGUUUCUCCAGAGUCCUUCCAUUGAGAUGAUACUGACAAAAUCAGAGCUCCAGGCACAGCUCAUGGAAUGGACCCAAGAUAAAAAUCCCAUUGUACGUCAGCUCAGUCUGCGAGGCCUUGGCAGUACUGUGCUCCAGCCAGGAAAGCCCUACCAUGGAGCCUCUAAGGAGUGCCCCUGCCAUGGGUGGGGAAUCUCCUGCUCAGCCACCUCUCUGUCAGAGCUCUUCUCCGCAAACCUCAGCCUCAUGCUCCCAGCCCCUGUUGCAGCCUGGCCUGUGGGAGAGAGGGCCUGGCCCUGGGCAGAUGACCAGCUGUCUGGAGAACACUGGCCCCCAAAGAGGUGGAGAUUCCCAGCAGGAAAGAGGUGGGUCGGGAAUGGCCUAGCUCUUGGGGCACCGAAGAACAAAAGUAAUGCUGUGUUUUGUAGCAGCACAUCUCCACAAGGCUCCAGCAGCUGCUUCUCCCCUUCCCCAGACCAGUCUCCAGCAGCCUUCCCUCUCCCUCCCCUUUUCUUUCCCCAGCACCUCACACCGUCCCUCAUGGCAGCAGCUCCACCUCCCUUUCCUGCCGCUGAUCACCCAGGGAGCAGAAGUGAGCGCCAGGCCCCACUGCCCAUGGGAAGGGAGCCUAGAGAUGCAUCUGCAGCCAGCGACCUGGGUGGUCACUCAGCCAUCACCUCAAGCCUUGGCUGGGGAAGCAAGAGCCAGAGGAGUGGUGAGGAAACAGAAGGGAAUGAGCAGUGGAGAGAAAAGGGGAAAACAGAGACUGAGAACAGAGGGAUCCAUGGAGAUGGUCAAAUGCAGCAGGAAUGGGGUAAGGAGGGAGGCUCCCUGUAACUUGUCCAUUGCACUCAUCUUCACUUCUGACCCUCCCAUGGCUAGUGACUCACCCCUCAGGCACUGCACAGGGUAGGGUUUGGUGUCUCUCCCAGGCUGUGCUGGUGGAGGUGGGAGAAGAACAUGGAGAGAUUUGCCUCCUCCCUAUAGAGUCUAGUCAGCCAGGGUGAAAUUGAAUGCAGGAAACUGUCCAGACAGAAAUUGUGUCUAGGACACCAUGGGGCUGCACUGCCCUGCACAGUGUCUCGGGCUCUGUUCUGCACGAGAUGUCUAUGGCGCUGGGCUGGAGGCCUUACUGCUCCCGCGAGCCAAGUCAGUUAACACGGGGGGAACCGGAGCAGCAUGCAGAUUAUGACUCUGUCGCGUUCUGCUCUGAUCCUGCCUGGCUUUAACCAGGCUUCCCCACUCCCUGUAU